rnacentral:lncRNA from 1 species
GAUGUGGAACUGAGGUGUUCAAUGUUCUGUUUUAAAGAGUGGAAUGAAUGCUUAAAACAAGGCUAAAAAGAGUAGACUAGGGGAUGAUCCUUGUUUUCAGGUUCUAAUUCAGAAAAAUAAUAUAAUAAGAAUCAUAGUGCCAUAGAAGGUUCUGGACUGUAUAGUUGUACUUGCUGAUAUUGUCUCUUGUAAUAUAAACUUGAUAUUGAGCUGAGUUCCUUUUAAGAAUUAAGCUUAGUUUUGUAUGUUGUUUUUUUGUUUUGUUUUUUUUUUUCCCAAACAGAAGGAGGAUGUAUUCUACUGGGGUGUUUUCAAGUGUCGGCUUAGAAUUGGAAGUUGAAUGGAAGCGAACUAUAACAAAGAGAGGAAACCACAGACUUCCAUUGUAAAUACUGUAGAGAGAAGGAGACAUGAGCAAUCCCUUCAAGUCAAAAGCUCUCCUCGGAAUGAAGAAUGUGGGUGUUUAUAAAUUCUGAAAAUGUCUUUCUGUUCAUAAUACUAGACACUGUUGGACCCUCCCCCCACUUCUAUAAGCUUUUACCCCCACCCACCCUCAUCCUUUUUUUCUGUGUACAUAUCAUGUUUCAUUUCAUACAUUGCCUCCGAGAAGGCUCAAGAGACAAGUGCAUUCUUGCUAACUGGAAAUUAAAAUUCCAGAUUUUUUUUUUUUUUUGUUUUGUUUUUUAAGUCAUGACCAGGGUUCUGUGUUUUGUUCCCUAAGACACCUACCUUGUGUGUUCUGGGAACUUUCCGUGUUAUGUGUGUUUGAAAUGAAUGCAAUUGGCCCAUUUGCCCUGGUGUUUGCUGGCCUUUUAGUGGUUAGCUAAUAAAACACAGUUUACAGAGAGCACAUAAAAACUUAGUGAGCUGCUGUUGAAACAUCUAGUUAGGAGUGAAAAUGUGAAUCCUUUCCUUGUUUGAAAGGUCGAUAGAUCUUGGAACUUUUUACUUUAUCCAGCAGAAAUGGCAAUGACUAUACCUGAAGGUGUUUCCUCUGGAACUGUAAAUUGUCUUUGCCUUGAAACUCCCUGAAAUGACAGUGAAGAUUCAAUGAUCAGGCUCCCUUUGAGUCCCUGUGAACUCAGCCCUGCAGCAGGGAGGAGCAACACUCUACUUCUGGGAAGGGUUGAGCCUCCUGGGUGGGGCUGCAAGGAAGGAGCAAGGGUUGGGAGGCACUGCAGUUGCCCAGUUGCCCUGAUCAACUGGUUGGGGACCCCUGGCUCUAUUCAAAGAGAUAAAUAGACCCCCAACUGCUGAGGUUCGGGUUAGUGUUCAGUCAACCAGAUGUACAAUGUUCAGUGUUGCAGAUCUUAAUCAUUUGCAUGCUCAUCAAUUUCUAAGAUAAAUAGGUCUCUAGUCAUAAGAAUUCAUUGUUUUCAAGGAACUCGCCAAAUGACAUCAUUUGUUGUCAGUUAGAAAGGCUUUGAAAAUAGGAAGUGAAAGUUGGUUUUUUUACAAAUGUAUGAGAAAAGACUCUCAUUGUUAAAGUGACUUUUUAAUUUUUUUAAGCAUUCUGACUCAAAUUCUUGCUAAGGUAAGAAGAAAGCAAGCCGCUUGCUCUCUGCCCUCAAGGAUUUGAGUUACUAAAAAGAGACCAGUGAACAAUGUCAGCCCCAACCAUUUGCCUGUAAAGCUGGCUGGAGUUUUUCAAGGGGCCUAGGCUUUGAAUAUUUAUGACUAACGCACCUCUGCAUGUGGGGUUAUUGACACUUGAGGUGAGAACAGGAACAAACAGACUGGACAAUCGUCUCCUGGUUUCUAUCUCCCUUGCUUUGUAUUGAGUCAGUAGUGUAAAGGUAGCCUUUCUUGUUCAGCUUCUUCUAGACUUUACCCGAGCUGGGGUUGAUGAAAGCAUCAAACUUGGCUGACUUAGAACUGGAAGUUGCUGGUACCCAGGCUGAAAUCUCUUGCGCUGGCUUCUUGAAGGGUUUCCUUUAAGCACAUCAGCUGCUAAGUUUUUGUGUUCAAUUCCUAUUAAAGGGGGUUGGCCUUUAUCUAUUUCCAAGAAUUUGCAGGCCAACCAAGGGCUUAUGUUAAUGGGGCUUCUAGUGGCUUCUAGCUAACCUGGAAGUUAGUGGCUUUUUUUCUUUAUGAGACCAACCUUUCACAGCAUUCUUUUUUAAAGACUUGUUAAGACAGGGUUUUUAAAUUCUUCUUUGUGAAAAGAACAGGUAUGCUCCCUUGGCUAUGAUGAUAGCUUUCUUUUGGGCGAAAGCAUAGCCCUAGAACCAGCUGGAAAUGAAGGGACUCCAUUAAUGAUCAACCGUCUGGAUCAAUAAUGACAAAUCAGUACUGAUGCUACAUGUGUGGCUAUUUCUUGCUAACUUUCAAAGGUCAGGGACACUCUUGACUAACUUACCAACUACAAACGUAGAUCUACUCAAGAAUCAUCAAGCCAGAAGUAGAGAGCUUUAUCCUGUCUUUCCUUGGCAUUUGUCUUUUAGCUCUCAUUUAUAUGUGAGACAAAGUGUUAAGAAACAAUCUUACUGUACUAUAGGAAACAAUAUUUUAUAGUGUGGAAACCCUAUUUGAUACAGUGGAACAUCCUGAAAGCAAUAUACCAUGUAUUUGGAUACCUUUAAAAUGGGUGACUUAAAGAUAGGGGAAGAUGGCUUACCACAUGGUGACAGUAAGAGCCAUGACAGAUAGUACAGUUGUGAAGUGCUGUGGCUAGGGGUGAUAAUGAUCCCAUAUUUACCUCAUGCUGCCUUGGCUGAGCUCGCUAACUGAGAUAGUCAUACAAAGAGGUCCUAUACCAGGAAACUGACAUUGGGGAGAAAAGGAUUUUUUGGAAGGCAUAUGGAGGACAACUCGGGGAACCAAGUAAGAACUAGUUUCUUGGUAGUGACAGGACAGGGGGGCUAGUGCUGUCAUGACAAGGUGGAUGUUAGCAGGAGGUGAUGCUCUCCUCACCUGCUCUGGCUGCUUGAAAGUCUUGAAAGAAGCAGGGUGUCCUUCCAGGUGUGUGAGCAGGCACAACCUUGUCAGUAGUAACAAAAAGACUUCCAUGCUGGGCUGGGGUUCUUAGCUAUGGAGAGUAAAGACAGCCUUCCAUAUAGUUAGUAGAACCAAGCAUUAAACACUGGGCCUCUGGUCAUCCCUGAGUCAAGCCUGAGAUGAUGAUGGUUCAGUCUCUUCCUCAUGCCUGGAGAGAGUAUGGCACAGCUAGUGUGUUGGGUAUCUAUCACUCACUAUUUGCAGCUAGAACACCAAAUAGAUGCUGGAAGGAGACUGAGAGGUUCUGGACGUGUUUGGCCCUACUCUUAAUUAAAGAGCCUAUAAUUAGCAAAUAUGGUUUUUAAGCAUCUGACUUGGGUAAGGCUUUAUUUCCCUUCCCUAGCUUAUCCAUGAUGGCUUGGCAUUUGGGAUGUCCACACCAAGAGAUGGGUAUGUUAUCCCUUUGCCAUCCACCUGCUAUGUAAACCUCUCUUUGUCCACGCUGUCCCUUUCUCCAGCACUAACCAUUAUGCCAUACCGUAGAACAAAUUCACUACCCAGGAAAAUGUGUCUGUUUGCAUACUCAUCUGUAGUGCUAGCAUUUUUAUUUUAGUCCAUUUUAGAACUUUGCCACUGGCCUAAGAGUAUAGUUUUCAGAAUAAUUUUUCUUAUGUAGUUGUUUUCCUUAUACCUCUUGGCUACAGGGUGGGCCAAACGAAUGCUAUCUCUCUUUCCAUUUGCUGUGUGUGGUUUGGUUUAUCAUCUGAAGAUGGUGGUGCUAUCGACGGUGCUACUUCAUCUGUGUACAAAAGACCGACGCAUGGUCUAUGUUGCUACCAAAACAUUUACUGUAUAUAUGUGGAUAACAUAUUAUGUAUAUAUGUAAUGGGUACCAGGCCAGGUUUAUAUUUUUUUCUUUAGACGUGUUUCACUUUUCCAAGCUUUCUUUAUAGUGUUAUGCUCGUGUUAAAUUCUUUUACCCCCAAUUCUGUCUGGUACUUAGAAUUGUAGUGUCUUCAUCGUUAAUUAAAGAAAACCAUCUAAAUG